UUAGGAAUUUUGCGCAAUGGGGGAAACCCUGACGCAGCAACGCCGCGUGAGUGAAGAAGGCCUUCGGGUUGUAAAGCUCUUUCGAGUGGGAAGAAACAAAUGACGGUACCACUAGAAGAAGCACCGGCUAACUCCGUGCCAGCAGCCGCGGUAAGACGGAGGGUGCAAGCGUUGCUCGGAUUUACUGGGCGUAAAGAGCACGUAGGCGGCUCGGUAAGUCUGAUGUGAAAGCCCUGGACUCAAUCCAGGAAGUGCAUUGGAUACUGCCGAGCUAGAAUGCAGGAGGGGUAAGCGGAAUUCCAGGUGUAGAGGUGAAAUUCGUAGAUAUCUGGAGGAACAACGGUGGCGAAGGCGGCUUACUGGACUGAUAUUGACGCUGAGGUGCGAAAGUGUGGGGAGCAAACGGGAUUAGAUACCCCUGUAGUCC
rnacentral:rRNA from 1 species